AUGGGUGAGUUAUGCCAAUUGUUGAUCCGAUUGUGGAGAAUGCAGAUUAUUCUGAUUGUGGGUCAUUACAGCGCUGGCUUCUACAUCAUGCAUAGACGACGUGUGCUCAAGAGGAGGCUUCAGAGCACAACUGGGACUGGCCGGCAGCUCUGUGGGAGUGAGCUCAGGAGAACCGUGUCUCUGAGCAGAGCAGCCAGACUCCUUAGCUACGUGUCGGCGAGCAGGGGAGGUUGCUUUGUUACGGUGUGCGCUCCAGAGGAGACUUCGGACCGCAGUCCGGCUGGCUGCUCAGCGCAAGAAACCUGACGGAUUUAGGAGAACCUUGUCUCACCGGAGAGGAGACGUGGUGCAGAGGUGCGGCUUAGGUUUGCGAGCUCCGAGGGCAACUUUGAAAUGCAGUCCAGUGAAACCGUGCACACAAUCAUGUGAUUGAGUUCAGCAAUCAUGUACAGAAAAAUGACUAAAGAAAAAGCACGCUCAGAAGAUCAUCACACUGCAUGCCAAUAGCCGCCAUAUUUGUUUACAAGGGAACUUCGUUACUUCUUCUUCUACAGCCAUUUUCAGUAUUUUAGUUUAGUUCUGCGCAUGUAAAAAUGAUUUAUGCUUAUCCAAUGUGUGGCGUAUGCAAGCGUUUGUUAUUGUCGCAUAAGAUUUUUCAGAGCCCAUGCAACCAGUUCAAGUCUAAUCCAAUCUUUGAUCAGAUAAGACAUUUUGCACAUGUACACGCAGCUAAUAAAGCUUGAUUUCAACGUUAUUAUCAAAGAAUGUUUUUUUAUGUUAUACUUUGAUGAUUUUAAAGGCUACAAACUGUCUAAACUCAAACCAUACAGGUGUGCAUCGUUUCUAAAUUGAAAAUGUGAAGACAUUGCAUGUUCUGAUAAUACUGUACAACUGAAUCCUAAAGGAGCUUUCACAUACUCUUUGUUGUGUUUAAGAGCCACAUGGUCCGACUCAAAGUAAUAUACAUCUGGCUCCUCCUCUUCCUCUUCCUCUUCCGCAGCUUGGCUUUGUGUCAGCUCCUUGGUGCUCUUGCAUUGUCUAGCCCCCAGAAAACCGCUGCCUUCAUCACAUGUCCCUCCUUCAGGAUUUGCAGAGACCUGCUCCUCAUUGGAGGGGCCAAAUGAGUCUGAACAAAGGGGAUCUUCCAGUGGUGGAUAGCCCUCCUCUACCUGUCCUUCUGCCUCCAAAGGACCAUUGUCUGUAGGAGAGCUAAGUUUAUUAGAGGACAACUUCUCACCAGGCUCAGUUCUACCGGGUGAAGUCCGAAGGGUGUAUCGGUGUUCAUACAGCUCUGUGAAAGAAGGGGACGUACUAGAAGAUAUUGAGGGGUUACCCUCUGGCUCUGUGGGGGAUGGGGGGGUUAGAGGGGGUGUAGUUUCUCCUGAGUUGUUGAUGUUGAUUGAUGUACAGUUCGUGGUAGAGGAGGUUGAGGCAGCAGCUUCCUGGACUAGCAAUGGUGGUUGGCCAUUAGCAUCACUUUCACUUUCCGUCACCUGCUCCUCGUGAGCCAGACACAGUGGGUCACCUACUAUAUCAACCUCCAUCUCCUCCACCUCCUGCUCUUUGGCUACUAUCAACUCAGGAACAGGCUCCUCUGGAGCAACCUCACAUGUUAGUGCAGAUGGGGCCGGAGAGUCCCUCUCGCCAGAGACCUCCAUCUGCCCAGUGACCGAGUUUGUAAAAGGCACAGAAGGUUCAGAGGACAAAGGUGCCUCUGUCUGACUUCCAUUGAGCAGCAACGGAAAGUUUGUGGUUGAUGCGGGUCUUGUAUUCGCCUGUUCAGACAGUUUGCUAGACUCCUCUGCUUUACCCAAGUCUUUGAGUCCAUUGGAGGUUUCGUGAGGAUUUGGGAGCAAAACUGCCCCUUCAAACUCCGCACGGGCAUCCCCUGUCCUCAUCCCCACCAUCUCACCUUCCAGUGUGCUGAGGAGAGGAGAGGCAGGUGUUGUGUUGCCAGAGUGUUGUCUGGGUAAUUCUUCACACAUACUGUCCUUACUGGUCUCUGGGACAGAGGCUGGGCUUUCAAGUUCAAAGAGGUUUUGGGCCUCUUCCUGUCCCUGAGGCUCUUCAGAAGGAGAGAACCGCAUGGCCUUUUUAAUUUGAGGAGAGGUAUCCCGCUGCACUUUUUCAGUGUCACAGUUCUCAGACUUCUCUGUGCUAAUGUCUUUUUCUAAACAACAAAAACCUCGUUUGCUGGAGCUGGUCCACUGAUCGGUCUCAGGUUGCAAAAAACUGAAGUCAUUUCGCAGACCUUUCAAAGUGCCCUGUUGCUGACGAUCUUGCAAGUGAGUAUCCCGUUUCUCAUCCUUCUUUUUGUCCAGUUUAACAUCCCGAUUUGAAUCUUGUCUAACACUUUGUUUGCUGUCUUGCCUUGGCUCUGACUCGUGAAAGCAUUUGUCUUCUGACUUUUGCCUGCAAUUGUCCUUUGACUCCUGCUCCAACUUCUGAUUUGCUGAAUGACCCGACAUCAGCUCAGACUCCUUACAUACGUCCCUCGACUCCUGCUUGCAGACGUCCCUCGACUCCUGCUUGCAG
rnacentral:lncRNA from 1 species